GACGGGGGAUGCAAGCGUUAUCCGGAAUCACUGGGCGUAAAGCGUCUGUAGGUGGUGAUGCAAGUCACUGGUGCAAAACUCUGGCUCAACCGGAGGAAAGCCAGUGAAACUGCAUGACUAGAGUGUGGGAGAGGUAGAAGGAAUUCCCUGAGUAGCGGUGAAAUGCGUAGAUACAGGGAAGAACACCGGAGGAGAAAGUGCUCUACUGGAACACAAUAGACAAUGAGCGACGAAAGCUAGGGGAGCGAAUGGG
rnacentral:rRNA from 1 species